rnacentral:rRNA from 1 species
UACGGAGGGGGCUAGCGUUGUUCGGAAUUACUGGGCGUAAAGCGCACGUAGGCGGACUAUUAAGUCAGGGGUGAAAUCCCGGGGCUCAACCCCGGAACUGCCUUUGAUACUGCUAGUCUCGAGUCCGGAAGAGGUGAGUGGAAUUCCGAGUGUAGAGGUGAAAUUCGUAGAUAUUCGGAGGAACACCAGUGGCGAAGGCGGCUCACUGGUCCGGUACUGACGCUGAGGUGCGAAAGCGUGGGGAGCAAACAGG